GUUACAAGUCUCUGAACAAAUGUGGUGCCCGCCACAUUUUUGCUGUUCCUAUUGUGACCGGCCUCUCGCUACGAAGUCCAGGUUUCUCGACGUCGACCUAAGGCCCGUGUGCAAGAAAUGCUUCGAGAAGCUUCCCAGCGAGCUCAGAAAGCGGCUUCUCAAGACGACGGAGAAAAGCCACUUUUCCAACAAGUAGACACACGCGUCGAGAAAAAGAAAACGGGUGUAUUUUUUAGUUAGGAGAACAAAAGAGACUGUGAGGUGUCACGCUGGUAUACAAGUGAGAUUGAAAAAAGAACGGGCAGUUUCGUUCUCAAAAGCACCAGUAAAACGUCACAAAUAUACUGAAGACUAUUGGUUAGGGCAGGGACUGUUAUUAGUGCAAUAUAACUGAAUAUUCAGUUAGAAGUAAUGAGCACUAAACGAACUGAACGCAUUGUAAAGGUGAUGCUGUUGGAUCAGCAAUAAAGAUGAAUACGUAUGAGUCAGUCAAA